UACGUAGGGUGCAAGCGUUGUCCGGAAUUAUUGGGCGUAAAGAGCUCGUAGGCGGUUUGUCGCGUCUGCUGUGAAAACUCGGGGCUUAACCCCGGGCCUGCAGUGGGUACGGGCAGACUAGAGUGCGGUAGGGGAGACUGGAAUUCCUGGUGUAGCGGUGAAAUGCGCAGAUAUCAGGAGGAACACCGGUGGCGAAGGCGGGUCUCUGGGCCGAUACUGACGCUGAGGAGCGAAAGCGUGGGGAGCAAAAGGG
rnacentral:rRNA from 1 species